AGUUUUUAAAAGAAAUAAAAAAUGAAGCAUUUACUGUGCGCGUUUUGUAAUUUGUAUACUGUCUGUAGUAGCACUGGUACUCGUAUGGGCUGAAUGUUUUUAUUAGCAGAUAUGACCAAGUUCAGGGUAAAGAGACGGUUGCAGCGAAAGUUCUAACGCCAUCGACGUGAAUUUUCCAACCUUUCUUCUUCCUCCAUGGUUCGAACCAGCAAUAGAGGAGGCGCUGUUCGAACCGUCAGCCAUGCGGAACCUUGCAACUUGGGCGAGACCCUUUGUGAGCGGUAAUGUGAUAAAGCAGGAAGUUAUAUUGAGCUGUAUUCUGGAGAUGCCAUUCGCCCUUGCCGACACUUGCGAAAGUGGUGAACAUACCAGUGCCGCCUUUUUGCAUUCUGGCUACCCAAAACAUAUCUGGAAAGCUUUGUGAAGCUGCUGAGAUAUUGCAUCUAUAGGCUGUCCGCUGAGGCCUGGCAGAUCUGAUUGCCACAAUUGACCUACUUGUCUACUCUGGCAGAGCGAAAAACGAUAUUUGAGCACUACUUACUCCUAGUGUCUAGCUGGGCUCACUCCAGGGUUCAGUGGCAAGUCACCGUCUCCUACUUAAUUUUGCCAUUGUUUGUGUGUUUAAUUUCUUAAGGGCUGUCUCUUUCAAUUAAGUAACAUUGUAGCAUGAUUCCUUUUCACAGGGAAAGCUGUUAUGAAAUCACAAGAAGGGUCGCGUGUGGUGCCGUAGUUUCCUGCUGCCGGUGUUUUUAACGACUAUUGCACAAAAUAAUAAAUAAAAAAAUGGAAACAAUAACACGGAGAACAGAGCGAGAUUCGAACCCGGGUUCCCUGCAUCACAUCCCAGCAUUCUACUGCAGAGCCACCCCGUGCCCGUAACUUUGUUGCAAGCUCUCCUUAGGCAGGCUUCAUGUAGGGAAAGGAAUCUUCAUGUAGGGAAAGGCAGGCUUCAUGUAGGGAAAGGAAUAGCAUUGGUAUGAAUAAUAAAGCGUUUUAGAACAGCAAAGGAUGUACCAGGCAUCACAGCGUACGAAUUGCAUAACGAGUGCGUUCAAUGCUCCAACUCAUUACAAAAGCUUGUUCUUGAUCACCUAUCAAGUGUGGCGCAUACCCGCUUCGUCGUCACCAGCCACUCCAUAAAAAAUUUGCACAAAUUCUUUGCAAGUGUGCAGGGGAUUUCACGCUUCUUCGAAAAAUGACGAAGGAUAGCAUAAUAAAGGCCAUUCAAAACCGUGGGCCCGCCUACUGCACAAAAUUUAUAAUUAUUUGUGGCAUAGUGGGCACCUAUCUAAGUGUGCUUCUUGUAGUUACCCGAAAGAGUGUUUAGAAAAGACUCUGACAGGCCACUCUUCCAGUCUUGGUCGUGACUAUGUUGCAUGUUCCGCGCAGAUCUGGCAACCGUAGUGGAAGUGCUGUGCUGCUCCGACUUGCUUCAAACUGCUCCUAACAGUAAUUUUUGUUAGGAAUUGCUCCAGAGCUGCUCUGAAAUGACACCUAUAGAAUGAGAAUAACGAAUUUUUGUGUUUGAUCGACUAGAGAAACUGAAAAGAAUAUGUGUACUAUCAUCCCAGUGUGCUACAUGUGUGCAGCAUUAUCAGCUCUGAUCUGAUUUGCGUGACAAAAGCUGGCAUGUUAAGCAUAUAUCUCAUUUGGCUGUUCUUUUUUUUUUCUCUGUUAGACAUGCAGGCUAGUGUGGUGAAAUGUGAAAAUUAGCAGGAUUGUGUUUACCUCAUGCCGAUUAUCUACUGCUUACUUGGCAACACUUAUAUUGGACUGUGUUCACUUCUAAAGUAUGGCACUCAGCUUUUCCAGUUUUUAUUUGAUUUGUGCCACAAAUACUAGUAUUUUUAAUUGUAGCUUAUUUCAGAGCACUUUUUUGACAACCUGCAAUUGUUUGCUUCAUGAAAUUUAUAUUGAUUGUUGUCUCUUGAAUAUAACAUUAGCAUUUACCAGAUGCUUCGACGAUGCUCUGAACUUCUUUAUAGUAUGGGCAAUUUCCUGCUCCUAAAAUACCAGUGGCUACUCUUAAUUAGCAUUUUUUUCUGCUCCGUAAACAUUUACGGCUGCUCGAAAGUAGUACUCUUCUUGUGAAAUAUUAAAUGUCACUUCCAUCACUUCUAGGGUGCACGCCUUCGGACUUUGAGAAUAAAGUUUUCUCAAACCAAACUUCCAUCACUGUGGCUUUUUUGUUCUUUUUUUCAAUGACAGGGAAUGCUUGAAGCACGUGUUUAAAGCUCAAAGAGAUCUCUGGAAGAUUAUUCAGCAAUAAAGAGUUUUUUCUUUGUAGUA
rnacentral:lncRNA from 1 species